rnacentral:rRNA from 1 species
AAUAGAUACCCGGGUAGUCCACGCCGUAAACGAUGAGUGCUAAGUGUUAGAGGGUUUCCGCCCUUUAGUGCUGCAGCUAACGCAUUAAGCACUCCGCCUGGGGAGUACGGCCGCAAGGCUGAAACUCAAAGGAAUUGACGGGGGCCCGCACAAGCGGUGGAGCAUGUGGUUUAAUUCGAAGCAACGCGAAGAACCUUACCAGGUCUUGACAUCCUCUGCCAACCCUAGAGAUAGGGCGUUCCCCUUCGGGGGACAGAGUGACAGGUGGUGCAUGGUUGUCGUCAGCUCGUGUCGUGAGAUGUUGGGUUAAGUCCCGCAACGAGCGCAACCCUUGAUCUUAGUUGCCAGCAUUCAGUUGGGCACUCUAAGGUGACUGCCGGUGACAAACCGGAGGAAGGUGGGGAUGACGUCAAAUCAUCAUGCCCCUUAUGACCUGGGCUACACACGUGCUACAAUGGAUGGUACAAAGAGCUGCGAACCUGCGAGGGUAAGCGAAUCUCAUAAAGCCAUUCUCAGUUCGGAUUGUAGGC